UACGUAGGGUGCAAGCGUUGUCCGGAAUUAUUGGGCGUAAAGAGCUCGUAGGCGGUUUGUCGCGUCUGCCGUGAAAGUCCGAGGCUCAACCUCGGAUCUGCAGUGGGUACGGGCAGACUAGAGUGUGGUAGGGGAGACUGGAAUUCCUGGUGUAGCGGUGGAAUGCGCAGAUAUCAGGAGGAACACCAAUGGCGAAGGCAGGUCUCUGGGCCACAACUGACGCUGAGGAGCGAAAGCAUGGGGAGCGAACAGG
rnacentral:rRNA from 1 species